rnacentral:rRNA from 1 species
GUCUAUGGCCAUGUCACCCUGAACGCGCCAGAUCUUGUCCGAUCUUGGAAGCAAAGUAGGGUGGAGCCUGGUUAAUACUUGGAUGGGAGAAAACAGUAUACUGAGUGCA